GCCGGGCGCGGUGGUUCACGCCUGUAAUCCCAGCACUUUGGGAGGCCAAGACGGGCGGAUCACGAGGUCAGGAGAUCGAGACCAUCCUGGCGAACACGGUGAAACCCCGUCUCUACUAAAAAAUACANNNNNNNNNNUGUAUUUUUUAGUAGAAACGGGGUUUCACUGUGUUAACCAGGAUGGUCUCGAUCUCCUGACCUCGUGAUCCGCCCGUCUC
rnacentral:SRP_RNA from 1 species